AUUCUGUGUUGUGGACAUUUCCUCGACAUCUCCUUGUAUCUUUCCCAUGUAUUAUAUAAGGAUUCGGAUUCGGGUUGGUAGAAAUAAGAGAUAUCGCUUUUGAGUUU